AUUGAACGCUGGCGGCAUGCCUUACACAUGCAAGUCGAACGGUAACAGGUCUUCGGAUGCUGACGAGUGGCGAACGGGUGAGUAAUACAUCGGAACGUGCCUAGUAGUGGGGGAUAACUACUCGAAAGAGUGGCUAAUACCGCAUGAGAUCUACGGAUGAAAGCAGGGGAUCGCAAGGCCUUGUGCUACUAGAGCGGCCGAUGGCAGAUUAGGUAGUUGGUGGGAUAAAAGCUUACCAAGCCGACGAUCUGUAGCUGGUCUGAGAGGACGAUCAGCCACACUGGGACUGAGACACGGCCCAGACUCCUACGGGAGGCAGCAGUGGGGAAUUUUGGACAAUGGGCGAAAGCCUGAUCCAGCAAUGCCGCGUGCAGGAUGAAGGCCUUCGGGUUGUAAGCUGCUUUUGUACGGAACGAAAAGCCCCGGGUUAAUACCCUGGGGUCAUGACGGUACCGUAAGAAUAAGCACCGGCUAACUACGUGCCAGCCGCCGCGGUAA
rnacentral:rRNA from 1 species